rnacentral:rRNA from 1 species
UACGUAGGUGGCGAGCGUUGUCCGGAUUUACUGGGCGUAAAGGGAGCGUAGGCGGACUUUUAAGUGAGAUGUGAAAUACCCGGGCUCAACUUGGGUGCUGCAUUUCAAACUGGAAGUCUAGAGUGCAGGAGAGGAGAAUGGAAUUCCUAGUGUAGCGGUGAAAUGCGUAGAGAUUAGGAAGAACACCAGUGGCAAAGGCGAUUCUCUGGACUGUAACUGACGCUGAGGCUCGAAAGCGUGGGGAGCAAACAGGAUUAGAUACCCCCGUA